rnacentral:sRNA from 1 species
AUUAAAGAAAAAAAAAGUAAGACAAACACAUAAAAAAAAGAUACAAAGUGAGGGCCAGGCACGGUGGCUCACGCUUGUAAUCCCAGCACUUUGGGAGGCUGAUGCAGACGGAUCACGAGGUCAAGAGAUCGAGACCGUCCUGGCAAAUGUGGUGAAACCCUGUCUCUACUAAAAAUACAAAAAAAUUAGCUGGGCGUGGUGGUGCAUGUCUUUAGUCCCAGCUACUCGGGAGGCUGAGGCAGGAGAAUCACUUGAACCCGGGAGGCAGAGGUUGCAGUGAGCCGAGAUCGCGCCACUGCACUCCAGCCUGGCGACAGAGCAAGACUCCCGUCUCAAAAAAAAAAAAAAAGAUACAAAGCGAAUACUACAUUUUUCCUUGUCCCUCCCUAAUCCCCCUUUUUGAGGUAGUUAGUCCUUAUUAACAGUUUUGUGGGCCAGGCCCAGUGGCUCAUGCCUGUAAUCCCAGUAUUUUGGGAGGUCGAAGUGGGAGGAUCGCUUGAGGCCAGGAGUUUGAAAGCAGCCUGGGCAACAUAGCAAGACCCUGUCUCUACAAAAACUUAAAACAAUUUGCCAGGACUGGUGGUGUGCACCUGUAGACCCAGCUACUCUGGAGGCUGAGGCAGGAGGAUUGCUUCAACCUGGGAGGUUGAGGCUGCAGUGAGCUAGGAUUGCACCACUGCUAUUGUCAUUGCUGUUACUUCUGUUACUCCGGUUGUUCUGGCUUGCAGAAAACCUUUCAAUGAAGGUAAGGGUAGGAAGCAUAAAUUCUCUACGAGGUAAUGUCCCCUGAGGAGAGAGGUGAAGUGUGAAUCUGUGAAGAAUCCAGGGUGCCUGUGAGGUCAAGCGAGGAUCAACACAAACAUUUCCCCAGCAUGCGCGACGGCGGGAGAGUUCGUGAGACUUUUGGAAGCACUUCACGCCCUACACUUAGCAUUCAGUUUGGUCAUCUCAUCCCUCUUCUAGGUGCUAGUCGCAGGCCCAACCCAACCUCAUAGGAUGUGUUUGCACACAGGGCCACUUAAUAAAUGUUAUGGCUGCCUUAUUUGCUGUGAACUCUUGUCUGUAUUCCUGGGCCUUGGUAGACCUGGGAUGCCCAGUGGCUCUGCCUUUCACUGUAGGUUUUGAGUGAUGAGGUGAAGAGGAAGCAGUACGAUGCCUACGGCUCUGCAGGCUUCGAUCCUGGGGCCAGCGGCUCCCAGCAUAGCUACUGGAAGGGAGGCCCCACUGUGGACCCCGAGGAGCUGUUCAGGAAGAUCUUUGGCGAGUUCUCAUCCUCUUCAUUUGGAGAUUUCCAGACCGUGUUUGAUCAGCCUCAGGAAUACUUCAUGGAGUUGACAUUCAAUCAAGCUGCAAAGGGGGUCAACAAGGAGUUCACCGUAAACAUCAUGGACACGUGUGAGCGCUGCAACGGCAAGGGGAACGAGCCCGGCACCAAGGUGCAGCAUUGCCACUACUGUGGUGGCUCCGGCAUGGUAAGGCUCUGCCCGAGACUCCACCUCCCAUGGCUUGCACCACUGACUGAGAAGAGCUGGUUGUGGCACUGCUCCCAGAGAACGUAUGCUGGGAGUUGGGGGAGUUGGUGAACUCAGCCUGGCUGUCUUUCCCCCGUGACCCUGAGGAGACGAGCCUGUGCUCCUCCUUCCCUGAUACCACAGGCUCAGCAACCAGAGCACAGCAGCUCCGGGGGCGGGGCGGGGGAUUGCAUCCAGUUGUCACUUUGUUCUUUAUUUUUCUAACAAUUGCUUUUGUAAUUCAAGGGGAAAUAAUCUUUUUUAAAUGUACUGCUCAGCUCCCAGGAGUCUUCAGGUACUUCUGUAGAGAGGCGGUAUCAUAUUUUUCAGUGUCGUGUGGUCAAGUUGAUGAUCUGGAGUGCAGAAGUUUGUGUGUUCUAGAAAAUAAGAUGAACAGAUUGAGGCCCUGCGCCUGGGUUCCUAGGCAGUGUGUUUGAGUGCACAUGCACAUAAAAAACAAGCCUUAAAGAGACAUUUUUCUUACGCACAUUGUGGUUGCAGAACCACCCAUCAGUUUACCUGCGUACUUAGGUUACCAUUUUUCUUGUUUUUAUCAGGAAACCAUCAACACAGGCCCUUUUGUGAUGCGUUCCACGUGUAGGAGAUGUGGUGGCCGCGGCUCCAUCAUCAUAUCGCCCUGUGUGGUCUGCAGGGGAGCAGGACAAGCCAAGCAGAAAAAGCGAGUGAUGAUCCCUGUGCCUGCAGGAGUCGAGGAUGGCCAGACCGUGAGGAUGCCUGUGGGAAAAAGGGAAAUUUUCAUUACGUUCAGGGUGCAGAAAAGCCCUGUGUUCCGGAGGGACGGCGCAGACAUCCACUCCGACCUCUUUAUUUCUAUAGCUCAGGCUCUUCUUGGGGGAACAGCCAGAGCCCAGGGCCUGUACGAGACGAUCAACGUGACGGUAAGAGGGUGUGAGAACACCUUUGUCACCCCUGUACUUUAUUGCUCUUUUUCUGAAAUGGAAAAGAACUGACCAGUGGCCUGGAACCCAUGAGUGACCAGCAUGUUGGGGGGCACUCACAGGGGAGGACAUGAGGAAUUUUAGGCUGCUCCUUGAGUGUGGACCACAAGCCACAGGCCUUGACUCUAUAAUCGCAUGGGAAGCAGUUCCUGGCUGGCAUCACUCCCACACUGGUUAGCGGGGCCUGGGAACUGGGCGCAUUCAGGACACAGAGGGGUUCACCCUGGGUUGUGCUCUCUGCACUUGCUUCUGUCCAGUGUCUGGCUCCAAGAGCAGAAGACUCGGGCGGUGCAUAUCCCUUUUGCCACAGUGAUGGCUGCCUGUGUGCUGCCAGCACCUGUCCCCCACCUCUCUCUUGACCUGCCCCUCCAGCUCCUCCCACCUCCAGGCCACAUCAUUCUCUGUAUUCGCCUCAGAACCUUCUCCAGCUUCUUUGUGGGGAACCUUGGGGUAACCUCCAUCAAGGAGGUGGGCAUUUUGGGCCAAGGCUUUCUCCUCCAUCUGGGGGCUAUUCCCUGGCUUCUCCAGGGUCCUGUGGUUCCAAGGGCCAGGGAGCGACCUCAGCCACGCACCCUGUAUUGGCUUUUCCUGCUUUGCUCCCUCACUCCUGCUUCCUGGGCUCACUUGCCCAAACUCUUGCCCCCUCAUCCUAGUCACAGGCUCUGCUCUGGGCAGACCCAACUUAGCUCAUUUCCAUGUGCUCGUGGGCGGGCUUGGCCCAGAAACCCAAGUGGCGGUUCUUUUUUUUUUUUGAGAUGGAGUCUCGCUUUGUCGUCAGGUGCACGCCACCACACCUGGCUAAUUUUUUGUAUUUUAGUAGAGACAGGGUUUCACCGUAUUUCCCAGGCUGGUCUUCAACUCCUGAUCUCAGGCAGUUCAC